AACAAGAUUAAAGUAACAAAGGGCACACAAGGGAUGCCUAGGUAGAAAGAGCCGAAGAAGGACGUGGUAAGCUGCGAUAAGCUUGGCGAAGUUGCAAACGAACGUGGAUGCCAAGAUUUCCGAAUGGAGCAAUCUGUAAAGAGUCAUGUCUUUACACGAAAGAGGGAACCGGGUGAACUGAAACAUCUAAGUAAUCCGAGGAAAAGAAAGUAACAACGAUACCCUAAGUAGCGGCGAGCGAACGGGG
rnacentral:rRNA from 1 species